GCUCAAAUGGCCUAGUGGUUAAAGCAUCCUCCUCAGAUGCGGGAAAUCGCAGGUUCGAACCCUGACCAAGUCA